rnacentral:rRNA from 1 species
UGGGGAAUAUUGGACAAUGGGGGCAACCCUGAUCCAGCAAUGCCGCGUGUGUGAAGAAGGUCUUCGGAUUGUAAAGCACUUUCGACGGGGACGAUGAUGACGGUACCCGUAGAAGAAGCCCCGGCUAACUUCGUGCCAGCAGCCGCGGUAAUACGAAGGGGGCUAGCGUUGCUCGGAAUGACUGGGCGUAAAGGGCGUGUAGGCGGUUUACACAGUCAGAUGUGAAAUCCCCGGGCUUAACCUGGGAGCUGCAUUUGAUACGUGUAGACUAGAGUGUGAGAGAGGGUUGUGGAAUUCCCAGUGUAGAGGUGAAAUUCGUAGAUAUUGGGAAGAACACCGGUAGCGAAGGCGGCAACCUGGCUCAUGACUGACGCUGAGGCGCGAAAGCGUGGGGAGCAAACAGGAUUAGGAUACCCUGGUAGUCCA